rnacentral:rRNA from 1 species
AACGAACGCUGGCGGCAUGCCUAACACAUGCCAGUCGAACGAGACCUUCGGGUCUAGUGGCGCACGGGUGCGUAACGCGUGGGAACCUGCCCUUAGGUUCAGAAUAACUCCCCGAAAGGGGUGCUAAUACCGGAUAAUGUCUUCGGACCAAAGAUUUAUCGCCUUUGGAUGGGCCCGCGUUGGAUUAGCUAGUUGGUAGGGUAAAAGCCUACCAAGGCGACGAUCCAUAGCUGGUCUGAGAGGAUGAUCAGCCACACUGGGACUGAGACACGGCCCAGACUCCUACGGGAGGCAGCAGUGGGGAAUAUUGGACAAUGGGCGAAAGCCUGAUCCAGCAAUGCCGCGUGAGUGAUGAAGGCCUUAGGGUUGUAAAGCUCUUUUACCCGGGAUGAUAAUGACAGUACCGGGAGAAUAAGCGCCGGCUAACUCCGUG